GUGCAAACGGGAUCCCGCGAAAGUCCCGCUUCUAGUUCAUUUUUCAAAUCUUCUAUUCAAAAUUUUGCUCAGAAUUUGAAUAGGAGAUUUGAGAAUUGAACUAGAAGCGGGACUUUCGCAGGAUC
rnacentral:pre_miRNA from 1 species